rnacentral:rRNA from 1 species
UACGUAGGGUGCAAGCGUUGUCCGGAAUUAUUGGGCGUAAAGAGCUCGUAGGCGGUUUGUCGCGUCUGCUGUGAAAAUCCAGGGCUUAACCCUGGACCUGCAGUGGGUACGGGCAGACUGGAGUGCGGUAGGGGAGACUGGAAUUCCUGGUGUAGCGGUGAAAUGCGCAGAUAUCAGGAGGAACACCGGUGGCGAAGGCGGGUCUCUGGGCCGAAACUGACGCUGAGGAGCGAAAGCGUGGGGAGCAAACAGG